rnacentral:rRNA from 1 species
UACGUAGGGGGGCAAGCGUUGUCCGGAUUUAUUGGGCGUAAAGAGCGUGUAGGCGGCUUGGUAGGUCCGCUGUGAAAACUCGAGGCUCAACCUCGAGAUGUCGGCGGAAACCACUUGGCUAGAGUCCGGAAGAGGAGAGUGGAAUUCCUGGUGUAGCGGUGAAAUGCGCAGAUAUCAGGAAGAACACCUAUGGCGAAGGCAGCUCUCUGGGACGGUACUGACGCUGAGACGCGAAAGCGUGGGGAGCAAACAGG